UACAGAGGUCCCAAGCGUUGUUCGGAUUUAUUGGGCGUAAAGGGCGCGUAGGCGGUCACGCACGUCCGUUGUGAAAUCGCUCGGCUCAACUGGGCGGGGUCAGCGGAUACGGCGUGGCUGGAGCAAGCUAGGGGGCAAUGGAAUUCCCGGUGUAGUGGUGGAAUGCGUAGAUAUCGGGAGGAACACCAGUGGCGAAGGCGGUUGCCUGGAGCUUUGCUGACGCUGAUGCGCGAAAGCGUGGGGAGCGAUCCGG
rnacentral:rRNA from 1 species